rnacentral:rRNA from 1 species
UGAAGCUGGAAUCGCUAGUAAUCGCGGAUCAGAAUGCCGCGGUGAAUACGUUCCCGGGUCUUGUACACACCGCCCGUCACACCAUGGGAGUCGGGAAUGCCCGAAGCCGGUGGCCCAAUCGAAAGAAGGGAGCCGUCGAAGGCAGGCCGGAUGACUGGGGUGAAGUCGUAACAAGGUACC